rnacentral:rRNA from 1 species
UACGUAGGGGGCUAGCGUUGUCCGGAAUCAUUGGGCGUAAAGAGCGUGUAGGCUGCUCGGUAAGUCCGCUGUAAAAGUCAAAGGCUCAACCUUUGAAUGUCAGUGGAUACUGCCGGGCUAGAGUCCGGAAGAGGCGAGUGGAACUCCUGGUGUAGCGGUGGAAUGCGCAGAUAUCUGGAGGAAUACCGGUGGCGAAGGCGGCAUCCUGGACCGGCAUUGACGCUGAUGAGCGAAAGCUAGGGGAGCAAACGGGG